rnacentral:rRNA from 1 species
CCUACGGGGGGCAGCAGUGAGGAAUAUUGGUCAAUGGACGCGAGCCUGAACCAGCCAAGUCGCGUGAAGGAUGACUGUCCUAUGGGUUGUAAACUUCUUUUAUAUGGGAAUAAAAUGUUCCACGUGUGGGAUUUUGUAUGUACCCUAUGAAUAAGGAUCGGCUAACUCCGUUCCAGCAGCCGCGGUAAUUCGGAGGAUCCGAGCGUUAUCCGGAUUUAUUGGGUUUAAAGGGAGCGUAGGUGGAUUGUUAAGUCAGUUGUGAAAGUUUGCGGCUCAACCGUAAAAUUGCAGUUGAAACUGGCAGACUUGAGUACAGUAGAGGUAGGCGGAAUGCGUGGUGUAGCGGUGAAAUGCUUAGAUAUCACGAAGAACUCCGAUUGCGAAGGCAGCUCACUGGACUGCAACUGACACUGAGGCUCGAAAGUGUGGGUAUCAAACAGGAUUAGAUACCCCAGUAGUC